AUUUCAUAUUUUUGUUAGGCAGCCUGCGUCUGAAUGAAAUGGAACACGUGUCCAAAUUGGUAAGGAUGUAACUCAUUUGAUUAUGCAACAAAGAGGAGUGUGCAUGAGAGAAUCACCUCGGAUCCCCAUUUGUUAGGUCUACGUUGCCAUUUCCUUGCGCGUCCUAAUAACAUUUGUAAUGUAGUCUACACGAUGUUUUCUAGAUUAAUGCAAUGUGCCAAAAGCGGGUCACUCGAUUUUUAAGGUAUGUUACAAAAUUAUAUAUUUCCCAACAUGUUUUCAACAACACUAAAAUAAUUGAUAAAUCUAACCAUUGGUCCCUUUUACUAUAUCAAGAAUCACUCGCUAUUCAAAGAUAUAAACCUGAACUUAAUCAUGGACUUAAAGCUUCUAAAGAACUAACCAUAUUUCAUUAAUUCGUUAAUAAUCAACCUAACUAUUGUAUCAUAUUUCUUCAUAUAAAUACCGCUUUUGAUAUAUAACCUAGCUAGUUUAUCCUGAUGAUGACUGAAAUAUAGUCGAAACGUAGAUAAAUAAAAAUGUUAUCGAUUUUUGGAGUUUCACUUGUUUUGUAUUCCAACAUAUAUAUGUUAGGUAUGUUAUUAUACGUAAUAUAAGCAUCAAUUUAAGGUAAGACUCAACCACAAACGCUUCGCAAAACGUUUUAAAGUCACUAGUGUUCUUUAUAAAAGUAAACUGCCUUUUGAAAUGGCUUUAUCGAUAAACUUUUGCAAUAAAGCGAUUUAAAGUUCUCGCUUGCAAAUAACUUUGCUUUCUUUUUUAUUUAAAAAAUUCAAUAUCAUAAAAAAGGGAAUCAAUAGAAUUAAAGAUACACUGAAAUUAUAAGCUGUCUUGUUUAGUUGUUUCAUAAUCUUGUUUCAUAAUCUAAGUCUUGUUUAGUUGUUUCAAAUGUGUCAAUGUGAGAGUGCUACUGCUCAACGGAUUAAUCAGACUAUCUAAUGUACUUUACUAUCUUACUGCGUCUAAUGCCAGACUAUUUUGCUCAUCAAGGAGAGUGCUGGAUCUCGAUGGGUCGACUAGUAUAAUUGCAAAGUAAUUACUUUGGACAAAUGUAUAGCUUACAUAAUUAUAUAUGUUCACUACAUGCAUAAAUGCAAACAUGUAAAUCAAUUCAAACCAUGUAAAUUCACAUUAGAAUUGGUACAUUUAGACCAAGAGAAUGAGCAUAAAAACCUGAGAUAUUAUGUGCAUCAACCCCAUGCCACCCCCACCCCCACCUUAAUCUUAGUAUCCCGAGGGGUUAUAAUCUUUCAAACAGUAAAAUUAUUGUUUUGUAUGUUCUACGUAUACUCACACAUGAAAAAGUUGAAUUUUUGGGUUUUAAAAUUGUUCAGAAUUCAUUGUCCGUAAUUCAAAAUUGUUCAGAAUUCAUUGUCCUGAGAUGAUGUGCAUCAACCCCAUGCCAACCCCCACCCCCACCUUAAUCUUAGUAUCCCGAGGGGUUAUAAUCUUUCAAACAGUAAAAUUAUUGUUUUGUAUGUUCAACGUUACUCAUGCACACAUGAAAAAGUUGAAUUUUUGGGUUUUAAAAUUGUUCAGAAUUCAUUGUCCGUAACAGUGCAUUUACCAGCACUACAAAACAUGCUCAUUACAAAACAUAAUUCUUCCCAGUAUACUGCACUUCCCUGACUGGGGAGGGGGAAUUUCCACAUAAGCGAUCUAUAUCCACUCCUCCCCAUACUUGACUCUUGCAUGCACCUCCCCUGCCUCCUUCCAAAUUAUAAAUUUGGUGCUGUUGACAUGAAGUGCUCCUCAAUUUUAAAUUUCAAAACUUUCCUACUGUGCCUAUGGUGAGUAAUUAAACCUUAAGAAAUCUGUCACUAUAAAAAUAAUGUCAACUGCAUAAAAAAGAUUCAGAAGUUUGUUUCCAAGAUGUUGACACAUUACUUAAUACUGAAUGUAUGUACAGCAGGAAAUUGAAAAAGUUGUUAAUUUAAUUUUAAUUUAAUUUAAUUGCUUUUCCAUCACUACUGUACAGAAACAUACACACAUGUCACAUACACACAUAUACAUACAUAACACAAUGACAUAAACUGAGUUGAUGGUUGGGUAUCCGCAACAGCCUGAAACCAAUUACUGCGGGCCCAAAACGUUAAGAGACAAAUAUCAAUAACACAAAUAACAAUUAAACCAUAGAGACUAAAAACAACAGUUCAUCGAGUUUGUUAAAGUCCUUGCUCUAUUGCAUUUCGGGCAAAUCGUUUUAAAAGUUCGUACAUCAUCACAAUCGUAUGUGUUCGUUAAUGCAGUAUGGUAGUACUCUCGCAUUACAGACUUGAAUGCGUUGAAGUUCUCCAUACUCAAGUCAAGUAUGACCGUCAAUGUGUUCCAUGUUCUGAUGGUUCUUAUCAAGUAUGAUCUUUGGUAGGUUGUUGUUUUGCACCGCGGGACUUCGUACUUUACACCUUUCGUGUUAGUGGACGAUCUUGUAUAUAUUGUUGUCUUGGCGUGCAAGGCAAAGGACGAGCUGGUAAUGCCAUGAGUUACUUUGAAGAAAUGAAUCAUAUCAAGGUAUUCAUGCCAGUAACAUAUGGGCAGCAGAUGGAGAGUUUGCAAUCUGGAUUUGUAAUUUACUGAACUAAUAAAUGGAAGAUUAAGAAUGUAUUUUGUUGCACGUCUUUGAGGUUUUUCUAGUUUGAGCAGAAGUUCGAUAGAUUGAGGUGUCCAGACUUGCGUCGCGUAACCAAGAUGUGAUCGUACCAGUGACAGGUAAAUGGUUCUUCUUGUUUUAAUGCUGUUAAUUGUUCGUGUGUUCCGUCUGAUGUAGCUAAGCAUUUUAUUUGCUUGUGCACACUGUUCGUUGACAUGCUUGUUCAAUGUCAAAUAUAAUGAUGCUAGUGGAGCGUCAUUCAUAAAAUAGGUGGUAGGGAUUGGAUUGGUUUUACGGGUAAUGGAUUGUGCCUUGCAUUUUGCUUCGUUGAAUUGUAAGCCAGAUUCAGAUGACAAGAUCCCCAAGUUAGUGAUAUCUUCCUGUAACUUUAUUGCAUCAUUGGGCGAUUGUAUUGCCUUGAAGACUUUGGUAUCGUCCGCAAACAUUGCAACACGACUUGACUUCACAUUGCUCGGCAGAUCAUUGACGUAGAGGAGGAACAAUGCUGGACCAAGUAUUGAACCUUGCGGUACACCAGACGUGACAGGAAGUAGGUCUGACGUUGCUCCUAACACUGUAACGCGUUGUUUACGAUUUUCUAGAUAGCAACGAAACCAUCUGAGGAGAUUACCUCCAAAACCAUAGUCUUUCUGCAGCUUUCGUAUUAAUACAUCAUGAUCGACUUGUCGAAUGCCUUUGACAUUUAACAAAUAUAAAACAUUUUCCGUGUUGAUAUACAGUUAUAUCAACACGAGUGGAAAUUGGGAAAACGAGAAAUUGUGUGGAAACACGACGCCCGAAGGGCGGAGUGUUUUCACACAAUUUCGAGUUUUCCCAACUUCCACGAGUUUUGAUAUAACUAUAUAUCAACACGGAAAAAAUGUUUUAUAUUUGUUUUAUAAUAUAGCAAUGUCAAAAGCCCGAAGAAUAAGAACAAUUUCCGUGUUACAAGCGGCGGAAAAUUUCCCGUGUUGACAUGGAGUUAUAUCAACACGGCUCUUAGCCAAUCAGCGUUCAGAAUUUACAAAAGCUAUAUUAUAAAUCCAUAUAAAUCAUGUCUAUAUGUCCUCCACUGUCUAAACACGAUCCAACGUAGUCAAGAGUGUCGAUGAGGUUUGAUAUGCAAGAUCUCCCGGCCAUGAACCCAUGUUGACACAUGUUAACUGCAUCAUACAAACGAGUUUUUAUGUUGUUUAGGACACAGCGUUCCAGAACUUUCGAUGUAAUACAUAAUAGGGAAAUUGGGCGAUAGUUCUCAGCAUACUCUUUGUCACCUUUCUUGUGCACGGGCACAAUAUUAGCCAAUUUCCAUUCAUCUGGUAUUGUUCCUGAAAUGACUGAUAUAUUGAACAGCUUGCACAGAGAAGGUGUUAUCAUAUCUGCUGUUUCCCUCAGUAGUCUUGCAGGAAUACCAUCAGGACCUGUUGCUUUGCUUGAAUGAAGUGAUCUCAACACACAAGAAACUUCGGCUUCACUAAAUGUUAAAUCAGUCAUGAUUGGCUCGUCAGACUCAAUGACGUCUUCCUCGUUAGCUUUCUUUGUUGAAAAUACUGACGCAAAGUAGUGGUUGAACAUGUUUGCUAUACCAUCUGGAUUAUCGGCCGCCGUUCGUUGUGCUGUAUUUGCACCAGGUGUGUUGACGUUGUUUGCGGAUGAAAUAAUGUCAGGGAUGUUUCUUGUCUUUGAGCUUCUUUUCAAAACCGACCAGAAACACUUUGGAUUUUGUUUAAUGUCAGUUCCUAAAUUGUUGAAAAACUUUUCCCGACUUUUCCGCAACAUAUGCUUGACUUCAGAUCGCAAGGUUUUGAAUUGCUGCUGUAGUCGAAAAUUGUUUGGAGAAGCCUUAAGUUUUUGCCGAGCUGAGUCUUUCUUUCUUAUGGCGUUAAGAAUAGUACCAUUAACCCAUGGAGCUGGAUUGCGUCCUUUGAUCUUUUUCAUCGGUAUAUAAUGUGAAACGGCUGUUAAAAACGCACCUUUCCAUUGUUGCCAGGCGAUGUUGAUAUCUAUGGCAUGUUCAACGAGAGACGUCAGAUUGAUUGCGUUCAAUGCACGUCGCAGUCCUUCAAAGUCACCAGCGUUGUAGUUAUAGACAUACCUCCCAUCUUUUGGUUUUGCUUUAAUAUUCUCAGAAAACUCGUAAAGGACUGUUGAGUGAUCCGUCAUUAUUUCAGUUGUCUCUGGGGGAAGUACUUCAGACACAGUGACUAAUUCUGGAACAGUUGUGAUAACAAGAUCUAGAGUUUUGUUGGCACGAGUAGGGAUGGUGUUUACUUGAGUGAAAUAGUGGUCAUCAAGUAUGUCAACAAAGUUCGCUUCGUUCGCACCAGAUGCAUUCAAUGUUGCAUCCCACGAGAUGUUGGGUAGAUUAAAAUCACCGGAUAUCACUAUGUUUUUAAACUGAUCGCAAACUUGAUCCAGGAAUGUGUUGAGUGUGCUUGUCCAAGUUCGUUCAGUGUCAGGUGGUCUGUAGCAAGAAGAGAAGAGGAUAUUUUGGUUUGAAGCAGUUUUCACUAUUGCUGAAACAAUCUCUAAUUCUUUUAUGUCAUCCAGGUUAGAGACGAAUUCCUUAACCGAGCUAAACGAACUUGAUUUGAUUGCAACCAAGACCCCGCCUCCAUUUCGUCCAACUCUGUCUUUCCUGAAGAUGUUAUAGUCAGAAUUUAAGAUCUCAGAGUUACUUAUGUUUUCGUUGAGCCAUGUCUCAUUUACACAUACGACAUCCAAAUUUUCUCCGUAAACGAAGUCUUGAAAUCUUUGAAGAUUGCAGAUGAUCGAAUUAGUGGUGACAUCUUUGUGGAUGCUUUUCAAACUUCUGGCGUUUAUUGUGGCACAUUUGAUGGGAAGUUGUUUAGAUGGAGGAGCAGGACCAGGAUUGGUUGCGAUGUCACCAGCAAGAAGAAUACACAAGAGUAGAUGGACAUUAUUGUUUUGGAUGUUAAACUGAAGACCAUAGCGGUGGUUGGGGGGAAAGGAUGAUUUUCUUCUAAUUUUGUCUCGUGUAGAAAUCCAUAGGUUGCAAAAACGUUCAGGUAUUGUUGUUAAUUCUGGAGAAACGGAGAAAUCAUCAGCCGUUAUUCUCUCGUUGAUGGAAAUGAACACAGGUUUGGAUCUUGUUGACAGCCAGAGAGAUACCACGAGACACACCAUCCAAAAUGAUGCCGAGAUGGCAAAGGAUUGGCAGGUUUUACGCAUUUUUAUACUUCUUAUUUCCCAAAAUGUUCUAAUUAAAUCACCAAAUGUUCUUAUGAUUGUUCUAAUAGAUGACCGUUAUUGCACGUGUAAUGACGUAUAUGAUCGUUUGCUCACGUAUGUUGUUUGUAAUUUGCCGCACGCGCUGGAAUCAAACGCAGUUCGUAAUAACGUUCCUUGAAUCACGUAGCCCGUAUGCACACGCCAAAAUCAACCGUCAACUUGCGCGUGCUCAAAAUAUAUUGCAAAAUUCCUUUCAAUUUUACAAAUAAUCCAACAAAAUAAAGCGUAAAUAUUCAAAAUUUUACCAAAUCAACUUCACUUUCCCAGAGGCAAACACUUUAACCACAAUUAUUGUGUGAUGCCAACCCACAAAGUCGUAGAAAUAAGGUAAAACGAUUGAUGGUUUUGCGGUGCGAUUUGACUCGCCGCUCGCGCGCCACGCGCGUCACGUCAUAGGAGGUCACGUUGUUAGGAGGUCAUGAGGGAAACUCUGAAAGCCCUUGAAUGAAAGCUGAAUAACUGUUAUUUAAAAAAAAUGUUGAAGAACUAAUUUUGCAAAGUCUCUGUCAAAUUAAACUAAAUAAUUAUAUUAAUUACUUUGUCCGCAUUAUAACACUUUCUGUUUGUGGAAACACCACGUAAAUUUAUUAAUGCAAAGCUUAGGAUGAAGCAACUAUUUUGGCGAUUGAUAGUCAUAAGUUCUCUCGCAAAAUGAGAGAGUCAAUUGAAAUUGAGAAGCACAAUACUAUUGAUCAGGAGGGAAAGCCACUAGAUAGUACGUGGCGUGCUCUCUUUAAUGUGCAAAAUUAAUUUCUCUUGUCCUGGAUGCGCGCGCGUUAACUGGAAUCACUUCACUACGUUUGGAAUGACGUGGUUGAUGUGCCGUUUAAUUAAAUUUCAAAUGACGCAAGCCAACAGAUCACGACACUUUUGUAUAUAAAAGAGCGUGUGAAUUAAACAAGUCAUAUUAUCAGCACAGAAUAGAAAGUACGACCAGAAGUCUCACUGAGCCAAAAUUAUGUCCGUGAUUUUUAUGCGCAGGCGCGAACCAGCAAGUGUAACCACGAGCCAUCAAACCAUAGAAAUAAUAGAUAUAGAAUGCGUACUUGAUCACGAAUCAUGUCUCCCACUUUUUCUCAUGCGUGCCCUUAUAAAUCCGCCAUGUUGAAUUUGUCUAGGAGCGCCAAAUACAAAAUAUAAACAAAGCUAAAACUACGUUUUCAUCGUCUAAUUUGUAGUUUGGGGAUAGAUUUUAAGUUAUUUGAAGGCACAAACUGUCAUGUCCACAAACUGAACAUGGCCACACAUUAGAUCUUAUCAUAACACGUUCAUCAGAUUCUAUUAUUUUGAACGAACCAAAACUGGGCCCCUUUCUUUCUGACCAUUGUAUUAUAAAUUGCCACCUUAAUGCAAGAAAAGCUAAACCUACAAUUAAGCAAGUUACAUUUAGACGGACCAAAGCUAUUAACAUUGAGACUUUCAAAACUGAGCUAUUAGCAUCUGAUUUGAUUGUUAAUACCCCCUCAUGCCUGGAUGAAAUAGUUGGUUUAUACAAUUGUACUCUGGAAUCCAUGUUGGAUAAAUUUGCUCCAGCUAUUUCGAAGACAGUAGUGAUUCGUCCAUCGGUCCCUUGGUUCAAUGAUGACAUUAGGGGGGCAAAACGCGCUAGACGCUCUGCCGAACGUAAGUGGAGGUCAUCCAAUGCUCUCUGUGAUCUAAUGGAGUAUAGAGUUAAAAGAAAUAACUUGAAUUUUGUAAUGAAACAAGCGCGAACUAAUUAUUAUCAAAAUCUUAUUGAGGAAAAUGGCAGUGAUCAACGUAAACUUUUUAAGUUGUCUAAGGAGCUUUUAAAUCUGAAUCCGAAACAGCUUUUCCCUCAACACUCAGAUAACUACAUUUUGGCUAACUCUAUUGGUUCAUUUUUUACUGAGAAAAUAACGAAAAUCAGAUCUGAAUUGGAUUCAAGACCCUUGUCAUGUGAUGAUUUACCAUCUACCAGCGCCAGUCCUAAUGCUACAUUGACUAAUUUUGAACUUUUGAGUGAGACACAGAUUCGGAAUCUUGCUGUUUCUUCGGUGAGAGGAUCUUGUAUUUUAGACCCGAUCUCUGCUUCUCUGUUCAAUGAGAGCUCCGAUGUGUUGCUGCCUUUGAUUACUACAAUGGUGAAUCUGUCUUUGCAAUCCGGCUGUUUUCCAGAUAUAUGGAAAAUAGCAAUCUUGAAACCAUUGCUUAAGAAACGAGAUUUAGAUCCGGUCUUUGGGAAUCUUCGACCAAUUAGCAAUUUAUCCUCCAUAUCCAAGCUGACAGAACGUGCAGUUGUUGAUCAAGUUUAAUGCUAUCUGACUACAAACAGUCUCUAUAUCCUUUAUUACAAUCGGCUUAUAGAAAAUAUCACAGUACUGAAACGGCCUUGUUAAAAGUAAAGAAUGAUUUGUUAAUGAAUAUGAACAAGGGUCAUGUGUCAAUAUUGGUUUUGCUUGAUAUGAGCUCAGCCUUUGACACCGUAGAUCACGAGAUCCUGAUCCAAAGACUUGAGACAAAGUUUGGUUUUAAAGGUACUGUUCUUGCAUGGUUUUCAUCUUACCUUAAUGGACGACAGCAGAGGGUCUUGGUAAAUGACUCACUUUCUGAUAUCUUUGAGUUGAAUUGUGGAGUUCCACAAGGAUCGUGUCUUGGCCCUUUGUUGUUUACUCUAUAUGCUAGUGAAAUAUUUGAUAUUAUUGAGCGUCAUCUCCCUGAUAUACACGCAUAUGCUGACGAUUCCCAGUUGUAUAUAUCAUUUAAUCCUAAUAGCGUUAAUGAUCAAGAAGCAGCUAUCCUUGCAAUCCAACAAUGCAUUGAUGAGUUUGAGCAAUGAUGGAAAAACAGAAAUUAUUUUAGUUGGCACAUCUCAGCAGUUAAAGAAGGUUGGAAUUAAUACAAUGAAAAUUUGUAACAUAGAAAUUACACCAGUUGAUGUGGUCAGAGAUCUAGGUGUUUGGCUCGAUUCAAGACUUAGAAUGGACACUCAUGUUACUAAGAUUUGCAGUGCUGCCUUUUAUCAUCUCUAUAACAUCAGACGAAUUAGGAAAUUUCUGAGCAAGAGCCACACUGAAACACUUAUACACGCAUUUGUGACAUGUAGAUUGGACUACUGUAAUAGCCUCCUGUAUGAACUUCCUGAUACCCUCAUUUCAAAGCUUGAACGUGUACAGAAUGCAUGUGUUCGUCUAGUUUAUCAUGCACCUAAACAAUGUCACAUUACACCACUUUUGCAGGACCUCCAUUGGUUACCUGUUAAAAUGAGGAUUAUGUUUAAGAUUUUGCUCCUUACAUUUAAAGCUCUUCAUCAGCUGGCUCCAUCAUAUUUAUCGGAACUUAUCACAAUUACCACGCCUGGUCGUUACAAUUUACGUACGUCUAACAAUGGCCUUUUAUUAUCUCAUCCUCGGGGUAAAUCAAAGAAAACGCUUGGUGAUCGAUCGUUCAUGGUUGCUGCGCCAACAUUAUGGAACAGCCUUCCAGCCAAGAUUAGGGACAUACAACAGUUAACUCAUUUUAAAUCAAAUCUUAAAACAUAUCUAUUUAAGAAAGCUUUUAUCGAAAAUAGAUAAUUUUUUUUUAACUAUUUCUAUGUAUAUUUAAUGUUUUAUAUCAGUGAACACCAACUAAUUUUGUAAUUAAGAUAAUGUAGCUAAACUAUGUACCAUUUUAUUGUAAUGCGCAUAGAACAUUUUAUGAAUAUGCGCAAUAGAAAUACAAUCUAUUAUUAUUAUUAUUAUUAUUAUAAAGCAACUGUGCAGUUACAAAAACGGUGAAAAUAGUGCAGCCUUGUAAAAACAAAGUAGUUUCGCGUAAAUAUAAUUUACUCAUAAAACAUUUUUGCAUGCUCUGAACGUCACUACUUAAUUCACUGUUUUGCUAAUAUUUUAUAAGAUUACAAAAUAAUGGUUCUUUCUUCGUCGGCGGGUUUCGUUUUUCUUCAAUGUAAACGAAGUGUUUCACAUGUUCUUGAAACAAAAACAUUUAGUUGUCGAUAAACUGUAAAUUGUCUAAAUAAUCGUUGAAAACCAUGGUUUCAUAAGCGUUGCCUCAAGCUCAAGCAACGUAGAAAAAGAUGAAAAGUAAUUGUGUAAGUUUAAAAAGCAAGAGUGGGUUGACCAAAGUUUUUGUAGUUCGCUAUAACUACAGCUACUUCAAAAAUAUGUAAUCAGCUACAGCUACUGCUACUUUUGAACAAAGGUAGUUCGCUACUGACUACAGCUACUGCUUAAAAAAUGUAGCGAACUAUUUCGCUACUCUAUAUUUUUUAGUUUUACGGUAUUUUAAGCAUCCACUAGCUCUGGCUGUAAUAUAACCUAUAACAAAUCGACUUACGAGUAGCAACAGUAAACAAAAAGGCUCAAAGCAACAUUUUAAUAAACUUUUCAUUGCGCUAAAAUAAUCUUUACUGUAUAAAAUAAUCUUCUAAGCAAACCGUGUCUUAUCGUCAUUCUAUUCUAUGGACGGUUGCUAACAAUUUUAAAAAGUAGCGAAUAGCGAUUCACUGUUUGAAAAGUAGUCGACUAUUUUGCUACUUUUAAGCAAAAUGUAGUUCGCUACAACUACAACUACUGUUUUACAAAAGUAGUCAAAAACUACUGGCUACAUGAAAAUUGUAGUUUGCUACAGUAGCGAACUACAACUACUUCGCUACUACCCAACCUCGUUAAAAAGAUUAUUGAACUUCAUUUAUAUUAUAAAAGAGUUGAAAUAUUUGUAGAACAUACCUAUUGAGUUUGAGUUUGUCUUCAUCUUUUGGGUUUUGUUUUGGCUUGCCCACAACGUUGAAAAUUUAUUUUUAAACGACGAUUUCUGUAUAUAUUCUGUUCAGAACUGUUGCUUUUCGUAAAAAAGCCCACCAGAAUGGGCAGGGGCGGAGCGAAGACUAUCCUUUUCGGGCGGUGCAAGACAACUUUUUGCCGACAAAAGGGCGUGGCUAGCACGUUGUUAGGGCGUGGUCAAAACGAACCGUAUUCAUUUUUAAGUGAUGUAUAACGAUGAAAUCCGAGUAGUAAGAUAAUUUGUUUUUUAAAUAGGCGAAAUAGUUCCUUAAAAUACCUGGUAUAAAUGUCAAAAAAGCACAUCCAAUCGUCAUCAAACGACCGAUUACAAACUAAACACGUCAGUUUCUCUCUCUUCCGUUUGCGUUUUUGCUUGCUACUGUCCAUUCUUUUAAAUCAUCUUCGUAUUUCUCAUUGUAUAUAAGACCGUUAGGGGUAAUUUCUAAGACCUUUACUGGCUUUACAAAAUUAUAAAAUGAAGAGUUUCCUAUGGUAUCAUAUUUCACAAAAUUGCAAGAAAAUUUAAUACUAUUAAAUAGCGUAUUGGAGUAAUAAGUUCUCGGCCAAUUUGGUUGAAUGUUUGGAAAAGGACCGAGCUUUCAGUCGACAUAUCCCUCUUUUCGAUCUCGCAUUUUCUACAAAUUUUCUACAAACGAUCUGAUUACAAUCAGGUAUUCCCUAUUGGCUUGAUCCAAUUCAUUAUGUUCAGUUUCCAAAGAUAUGUGUGGCUUGGUAGUGUAACUUGCCACCCAGAAAGGAGUGUCAUUGUGGAAUAAAUCUGCAAUAAACAAGAGUAGAUUAAUUAUGUAGGUUGUACAAAAAUCCACCAGAAACAUAAUUAGCAUAUGAUCAAGAUAAAUGGAACCAGGGGCAUAGGAACCGGGGGAGGCAAGUUUUGGCAAGGGCCCUUUUUUCAGGAGCGAAGUGCCCUUUUUUUGCCUGAAAAAUUUUCAUUAAAAUUGCCUUUUUUGCCCAAGAGGUACUUUUGAAAACUUCAAGCUACAUUAUUUCCUUCGUAUUUAGGAAAAAAUUGUGGAAUAUCCGGAAAAUUUUUAAGGGUGUGUCCGUAAAAUUUUUAAGGGUGUGUCCGGAAAUUUUUUUGCAGCCUAAAAUGGUACCCUGACCGAAAUUUUUUUGGCGACGGGAAGAGGGGGGGGUAGGUCGCCAAAAAAAGUCGAAAAGUUCCCCUCAAAGCCCCCAACUUUUCGAAGGUUCCCACGCCCCUGAAUGUGACCUAACUUCUCAGCUUAAACUAGGGGUAUCAGAACUAUGACUCAUUGAGUGCACUUAUAAAGGUACAUUGCUCAUUCACAGUGAUAUUUUAAUACUGAGAAAACUUGUAAGAAAACAGGCCAUCCUGGAAAUGAGGUUUAUGUCUGUUUAUAAAACGAGACCUCAGGAGUCAACCUUUUAAACAUUAUUACACUAGACAGUUCGCACUUUAAAGACCGUCUUAAUCCUGGUAUAUGUGACUGAAUAUCGAUCAAAGCUUCGUAGUUUGUAACCAAAUAUUUUGCGAUACGUCACAAAAUAAAGCUCUCUGAUUUGCUGAAAAUGUUUAAAAUUUCAAAAAAACUCUCCGAUUGGCUGGCUGAAAUUUCCCAGCGAAUCAGAGAGCUUUAUUUUGUGACGUAACGCCGGGAGCCAUCAUCCCGCAUAGUUUUGUUCAAAUCGAGUACGAAUUUUCCUCGGAAUUUUCGCAAAAUUAACUCGUUUAAAAAUGAAAAAAACACAAUAUAGAAGUAUUACAGUUAUUUCUUACCAUAGUGAGUUAGUUUUUUUAAUGAAUUUCGAUGUUUAUGUACGAGUUUUUCGUCAUUAAGUUUGUGUAUACAGUUUUAAAUUUGUAUUUACUUGCCAACCUUGGGGAUAUAUAUUACACGGCAAAAAACGCCGAGACCGUUGCUCAACAGGACUGAACAGGGCCGUAGCAACCGGGGGGGGCUGGGGGGGCUGCAGCCCCCCAAUAAUUUGCUAAUAAUCAUUCUUUUUUCAAAAUCAUGCAAACUUUAUCAUUUAAUCUGUGACAAACUGCAAAGAGUGAAGAUAUUACUCAUACUCCAGAUCGUUCCUCGCGUAGAAAUUUUAGCUGAAUUUCUGUCACGCAUUUUCAAGAAAAUCCCACAAAAUCUGCACAUUUUUGAUGAACUAAUGAUUUAUUUUGUCUUUUGCGUGUUGGGUCUUGCGAAAGAAAACUCUGAAAAUGCCAUUUCAGGCCAUCUAGAGACUCCAGAUUUUCGAAAUUUUCUCAAAUGUUCUGCCUUCAUUUCCGCGCAACUGCCAUUUACGACGAAAAUUCCCGCCGCGCAUUUAUAAUACUACAGUCUGGCCCAUACUUUCCUGUAAAUUUCGACAUACUAAAACGCUGUUUUCUGACUAUCAGAAUUCUGUUAAAUCUUCCCCCAAAGUCCAGGAAAUGGCAUUUUAGAGACUCUAAAUUUAAAAUUUCCUCGGGCCUUUGGCCCUCGCUUUCAGCCCCCAAACCCAAAGAGCAAAAGGCCUCCCUGCUGAACAAUGUUUUGCUGCCCAUGUUGUUCACACUUGUCAACAAUAUUGAACAAUGUUGUUGAGCCUGAAUCGGGUGUAACAAUAUUCUUCAAUGUUGUUGACAGCUAUGAACAAUGUGGGCAGCAAAACAUUGUUCAAUCCUGUUUUUAUCAGUAUUGCAUCAACCUGAGCGUUUUUUGCUAAUGCACAACGCUAUUGUGAUGUUGCAUGUACUUCAUGUAAUACAAAUUAUAGAGGUUUUGCUGUACAUUGAAGCAUUGCAUGUCAAAGCAUUGUAUUUUAAAGCAAAUUGUAUGGAUUUUUUUUUAAAUAAAAGACCUUUUCGGGAGACCUAUGAUCAAACGCGAGCAAUUACGCCAUCAAUUGCCAUCACCAGGUAAUAAAGAUUGCUGUUUUAACCGUUUUGCUGACAAACGCUGACGUGAUGUUCGCAGCAAGUGUCACACACGUCAUCCAGCGUGCAAAAUUCGUGAUCCGCAAGGCAAAAAUCGCGGACACGAAAAUGUUAAUUAGGAAAGGUAACCAGUGAGACUUCUGAUUGUAUUUUUAUUCUGUUUUAAUUAGCAAUGAGGAAGAUCCGGGCUUACGGAUCGAAAGCUUUGCAUUAAUAAAUUUACGUGGUGUUUUCACAAACAAAAAGUGUUAUAUAUUUUAUCACCAUGCAAUCAUACAAAGAACUUAUUACUUUGUCAUUAUUUAAAUACAGCUUGUCAUUAUUAAAUACAUUUAAUAUAAUAAAAAUAUAAUCUUUAAAUAAAUUAACACUCUUUGAUGAAAUUGAUAUAAAAUCAAUAAAGUAUGUCAAUUUAUAUUUUAUAAUAUACUAUAUUUAUUAUCUAUGAAUGGUAUUGAAUCUCCUCACCCUCGUGGAGUCUUGCAUUAUUAAUAAUAAACAACUGCAAUACAUGCACAUUCAUUCACAAUCAGGAUUUUGUCAUUGUAAUUGAAUGAUUCAAGACACCACUCGCAUUUUUUGUAGAUUUGUGCAAUUAACAGUACAGUCUUUCUCGCAUAGCCUUUUGUCUGUCUUUGUUUAUACUUUGUAUAUAAAAUCUUGUAUUUACAAAAUGUCCAUUUGACCCUUUGCCCUUUGGUGAUUUCAAUCUUUAAAUAAUCCACUGGCCCAAUUUUGUGCAGCCUUUUAAUACAUUGUGACACAACGACCAAUAUGUUUUGUAUUAAAAAUAAAAUUUCCAUUGACAGACUGCAGAAUUCAACGACCAGAACGACUCUUCGCCUUCGUUGAAGAGUUAUUAUUAAAUACACUCCUAUAGUCAGCCAUAUUUUUUCGGCACAAUUUCGUGUUCAAUUUCCGCAUUCCAUUGUUUUCAUGCGACCAAUCAACUUACUUCUCAUUUUGGUUUUCGCCAGGGCCUCCAGCAACGCAGUGUCAGCUGUGAGGCCCUGGAACAGAGGAUGACUGCAAACUGGCAGUCGAAAACUCGUAAUAAUAAAUGUAUAAAAACCAGAGAACGUCUAAAAACGUAUUAUAAUUCAACAGUUGCAUAUUGAAGGAUGAAGCCAUGGACACAUGGGGAUAUUGUGAGAAAUUAGUUGGAGUGAUAAAUUCUCAGUGAAGGAUACGAACUGCGAGAACUGGAAAUGAUACAACUAUAUCUAAAACAUGCAAAAAUAACUUUGCUCAAACUCCGAAGUUUGUUUUGUACUUUCAGAUAGUUUUGUCAUUUACAAAACUCGCUAUGAAUUCAAGUUCGACCCGAGUUGAUAUACCUUUCUAAUAUACCUUUCCAAUCUUACCAACACAACUCCCAAAAUUGAGAAAUUGUUUUAUCGCUAUUAUUGAACUUUAUUUUUAGUAACGAGGAGACCCUGAGGAUAAGAACAAAGAUCCUGAGUAUGGUGGCCGCCGAAGUUCUUGAGGGCGAGAAUAUCCAGUAAGUUUUGUUUCAUAGUUUAUAUAUUGGUAAUUGAUAAAACUAGAAUAGUUUAUCGCAUAGUAUUAAAACCUGUCUUUGGGCAAUUUUAGCAUGGCUAACACGAG